rnacentral:tRNA from 1 species
AGUAAGGUCAGCUAAUUCAAGCUCUUGGGCCCAUACCCCAAAGAUGCGGGUUAAAGUCCCACCCUUGCUA